rnacentral:sRNA from 1 species
CGAGAAUCACAUAAAAAUUUUUUUGAAGCCUGUAUACUAAAGCAAUUCAAACUUAUAUAAUAAAAAGGCUUUCACAUUCCAUUCAGAAACGUAAGUAAAAAUUAACGGGAUAAAUAAUAUCAUAAAACACAGCAAAAAGCUUGAUCUCCCAAGCUCACAACAAGGUAAACAAAUUAUCUCUAGUUUCUGAGUCUAAUUUAAAAUAUCCUUGCAGUCUUGUUGACCAAAUGAACUAGCUGCUGCAACACAACAACAAUCCAAAUUUGUUCAGAAAAUUUUGUGAAUACAACUCUAUAAAAGACAACAUAAAUCGAUGAAAACGGACUCAUUAAUCUUUGCGGUAUGCCUAUUCAAAAAAAAAAACUUCUCAAUUCAUUGAACCGUUGUAGUUGUAAGUAAAAAGCAUGUCAAAAGAUCAUUCUAUACGUAAGGAAUAUGGUUGAAAUGAAUGCAACGCACUGUGUCGCAUGAAACGGGUUCAGAUGAUUUGAGGGCCCUGAUAUACAAUGUGCUUUCUUCCUGAAAUCUUUGGAUUUGAAAACAUCCCAAAGUUAAGUCGGACUCGGAAUUUUCUAAGUAAGCAGAUGUUGAAUUGACAACUUUCUCAAUAUCCGUUGAUUGCAAAGUUGGAAUGCAUUUACUGCCUACUACAUCCAUACAUAAAGAAAUAUCUUCAAAUUCGUACGCAACAUUCUGCAUGCACAACUUUUCACCACUAAUAAAAGUCACUAAAUAUAAUU